CCUACGGGGCGCAGCAGUGGGGAAUAUUGCACAAUGGGGGAAACCCUGAUGCAGCGACGCCGCGUGAAGGACGAAGUAUUUCGGUACGUAAACUACUAUCAGCAGGGAAGAAAAUGACGGUACCUGACCAAGAAGCCCCGGCUAACUACGUGCCAGCAGCCGCGGUAAUACGUAGGGGGCAAGCGUUAUCCGGAUUUACUGGGUGUAAAGGGAGCGUAGACGGCCAUGCAAGUCUGAUGUGAAAGCCCGUGGCUCAACCGCGGAACUGCUUUGGAAACUGUAUAGCUUGAGUACUGGAGAGGCAG
rnacentral:rRNA from 1 species